CAAUGCAGCUUCCAGGAGAACCAGCUCCAAAGUACUAAGGCCACACUCAGAGGAAGGGGAGGUUUGGGAAGAAAGCAGCAAGGAACCCUAGUGAAGGCCCUAGAGCCAAAGAGCCCAAGGAUAGGUCUUCUAAGGAGAAGAAUUGAAAGGUAAAUCACUCGCAGCCACGGAAACUCCGAGGGGCAACGUCCAGUUUCAUUCGGAGGAUGGAAAGUAAAAUAACGGCUUCCUGAAAGAUGGAAAGACAAGACUUGAAAACAGAUGCCCUUAGAUAAGGAAACACACAAGCAAGGGAAUUCUUUUACAUGAACAAAGCCAAAAUGCCACGUUACAAAGCCAUCGGUGCGUUACAGCAGCAACAGGAAAUUAACACAGCCUGGAAUCAUGGGACGUCCUCCUUCCUCACCCUGCGUGGACCUGGGACCGGCACUUCUGGUAGACAGCCAGAACUACAGCUCAUUGUCACCCAGCAUGUAACUUGAGUUCAAGCAAACUCCACUCCCUUGUGUGUAUCUUGCAUUUAUACUCUUUCCAUAAGUGAAGGUUUGAUUGAGUUGGUUCAUCACUGUCCAAUAGACAGGAUUCCUAUUGCACAGUCAUGCUAAUGGCGCACACCUGGGGGUGUGGCUUCCCUCUUGUCCAAUCAGCUGUGUCCAGGGCAACAAGACUGCUGUCAAUCAACUCAAAGUGAGGAAAAUGUUACUGAGGAAAGAAUGGGUCUGGGCUAUUUGUGGGAGUCACUUGAGGACACCUCCCAGGUGACACAGAAGUUUAGAAAGCAAUCUUGAGGUUUCAAGAGAAGAAAGGCCCUUUCUGACCUCUUUACACAAACUUUAAUAGGGCAGCUUGAAUUGUCAGAAGCUUUAGAGCUACAGACCUGGGGCUCCAUUCUAUGGGGUCCUUUGAUCCCUGCCCACCGUCCCCUAAUGCCAGCUCUUAUGGUAGUCCUCCGCAUGUCAAAGGUGACCAUUCCUCCUGCAUCACCCACCUUGACCUUGGCCCUGCAGAUUGGUUUGAAGGAGGGCACAGUCUCACUGCUUGCCCAGAAGCAGUAUUUUUAGGAGUUUAAAGAGAAGAAAAAUCUGUUGAAGGCAAUUUCAGGUUCUAGGCUUUAUAAAAAGAGAUGCAGUGGAAAUCUGGAAAUCAGGAUGGCUUAAGAAGUCAAAGACAUUUGAAUUACUGCCUUUGGGACUGGAAGAAACCCAAACAAUUAGAGGUGUAAAGGCACAGGAUUCACGGCUUGAUAGGUGUUGAUAUAUCCCUCAAAACAGGUCUCCAGGCCCACUGGAGCCUGACCUCAUUUAAAACUGCUGGAAAAAUGCAUGUAAUAAGCUCAGUCUGAAGGCUCCCUGACAAUUCAGUUUGGAUCAAGGCUCUUUCCUGUAAGGGUUUGUUGUAUUUAUUACCAUUAUUUUUUAGUUAUUUAUGUUUUCCUGUUAUAAUAUGCUACCUUUUAAAAAACAAUUAAGAAUCUCAGACCAGACUAUCUAGAAAUAAACUGGUGCUUUUCUAUGGUGUUUGUUAAAAGGCAAGGAUUUUGUUUCUUACUCAUUAUUCCGUCUUGUUAUGGAUUUUCAAUGACUUGUCUCAAAAUUGUUCCAUCACCUUAACCUGAAUCCUCAAUUAAGUUUCCCAGUCACUACUAUUAAAUAAAAACCUUUAAAGUAUUUUAA